rnacentral:rRNA from 1 species
AGUAACGCGUAGGUAAUCUACCCUAAUAUCUGGGAUAACAUUGGGAAACUGGUGCUAAUACCGGAUACCCUUCUUUGCUGCUGGGCGAAGGAGGAAAGGUGGCCUCUUCAUGAAAGCUACCGUAUAAGGAUGAGCCUGCGUACCAUUAGCUAGUAGGUGGGGUAAUGGCCCACCUAGGCAACGAUGGUUAGCGGGUCUGAGAGGAUGAUCCGCCACACUGGAACUGGAACACGGACCAG